rnacentral:rRNA from 1 species
UGAGGAAUAUUGGUCAAUGGGCGCAAGCCUGAACCAGCCAAGUAGCGUGCAGGAAGACGGCCCUAUGGGUUGUAAACUGCUUUUAUACGAGAAUAAUUUGAUGCACGUGUGCGUUAUUGCAUGUAUCGUAUGAAUAAGGACCGGCUAAUUCCGUGCCAGCAGCCGCGGUAAUACGGAAGGUCCAGGCGUUAUCCGGAUUUAUUGGGUUUAAAGGGAGUGUAGGCGGUUUGUUAAGCGUGUUGUGAAAUUUAGAUGCUCAACAUUUAACUUGCAGCGCGAACUGUCAGACUUGAGUACACGCAACGUAUGCGGAAUUCAUGGUGUAGCGGUGAAAUGCUUAGAUAUCAUGAAGAACUCCGAUUGCGAAGGCAGCAUACGGGAGUGUAACUGACGCUUAAGCUCGAAGGUGCGGGUAUCGAACAGGAUUAGAUACCCUGGUAGUCCGCACAGUAAACGAUGGAUGCCCGCUGUUAGCGCCUGGCGUUAGCGGCUAAGCGAAAGCAUUAAGCAUCCCACCUGGGGAGUACGCCGGCNACGGU